UCCCCCACUGCUGCCUGCAGAAAUGCCUCCCGAGGCAGUGCAGGAAGCCCCCUGUCUGCCUCCCGGGCCCCGGGCCUCAGCCUCCGUGCGCGCCCCCACGCGGGCUCCUUCACCGACGGGGAGGACCGAGACUGGCCCCGGAGGCGCUCGCACCCCGCGGCGGGGGUCGGGAGAGGCAGCCUGGCCCCAGCUCCUUCCCUCGGGCUGCGCUGAGUGAGAAACGGGGUCCCCGGACCGCCCCCGCCCCGAGGCUUCGGCGCCCGGACUUACCUCCUCCGGUCACCGAGACCUGGGCCAGGCUGGGGUGAUGCUGGCUUCCUGCUAUUUUUAGCCCCUGGUGUUCAUCAUCCCUUGUGGAUUCUCUUACCGCUGAGUCUGCAGGCAAAUCUUACUACUUAUUUCACUAAGCUACUCCGUCUCCCUAAGCUGAAAUCUUUCACCUGUAAAAUGAAGUACUAACCCUACGGCAGGUGGAAAAAGUUCCAUAAGGAUGUCUGCCUGACAGAGUGUGGCGCCUGGCCCACAGAAGACCCCAACCCUUGACAGGCAAGGAAACUGAGGCUUGUGGAGUUUAUUUACAGCCUAAGCAAGCUCAUUCCGUUGGAGAGUGGUGGAACUGGCUCUCCGCCCCCAGCUCUGAUGCCUAACCGCUGCGGAGAUGUCUGCUGGCUCUUCUCUCUCCCACCUGUGACUUCCUGCAUCCAGGGAACUUCUGCUUCUGGUCGGUUCUUCCGCAGCACGGGGAAUCAUGCAAUUACAAGAUUUAGGCAUAUUCUCCCUUGCAGGGAGGGCUGGGAGCACCCCUCGGGCAGGGGGAUUGCUCAGCAAGUAGCAGUGGGUGGACACACACAGGGAUCUCUCUUGACAUUAUAAAAUCCAAGGAUUGGGUUGAGGGUACUGAGUGUCAGAAGUACCUUUGGACCCUAUUCCUGUGGUCCUGGAUCAGGGCCCUAGAAUUCAGAUUCCCAAACAAAGGCAAGGCCUAUCAUUAACAACCUCCCUCAGAACUGACCCAACUCACCUGUGGCUCUGAGGAGCCAGAUGGAGGUUGGUGAGUGGGGGGCACUGCCCGCACUUGCCCAGGGCCCUCUGUUUGGGGUUAGCUCUGAACCCCUUGCCGGUCGGGCUCUGAGAGGCCCAUGGGCUCUCUCAUGAGCUGGCCAGAGGAGAUACUGUCUCACUGGAGUUUGGGCCAAGACUGGCCAAAGGGGCUCUAGUCAAGCAACUGGUCUCACCCAGCCCCAGACCUCAGUUUUAGA